CAGUCGCCACGGUAAUACGGAGGGCGCGAGCGUUACCCGGAUUUACUGGGCGUAAAGGGCGUGUAGGCGGCCUGGGGCGUCCCAUGUGAAAGGCCACGGCUCAACCGUGGAGGAGCGUGGGAUACGCUCAGGCUAGAGGGUGGGAGAGGGUGGUGGAAUUCCCGGAGUAGCGGUGAAAUGCGCAGAUACCGGGAGGAACGCCGAUGGCGAAGGCAGCCACCUGGUCCACUUCUGACGCUGAGGCGCGAAAGCGUGGGGAGCAAACAGGAUUAGAUACCCCAGUAGUCCCUGUCUCUUAUAC
rnacentral:rRNA from 1 species